AUACGGAGGGUGCAAGCGUUAAUCGGAAUUACUGGGCGUAAAGCGCACGCAGGCGGUCUGUCAAGUCGGAUGUGAAAUCCCCGGGCUCAACCUGGGAACUGCAUUCGAAACUGGCAGGCUAGAGUCUUGUAGAGGGGGGUAGAAUUCCAGGUGUAGCGGUGAAAUGCGUAGAGAUCUGGAGGAAUACCGGUGGCGAAGGCGGCUCCCUGGACAAAGACUGACGCUCAGGUGCGAAAGCGUGGGGAGCAAACAGGAUUAGAUACCCUGGUAGUCCACGCCGUAAACAAUGUCGAUUUGGAGGUUGUGGCCUUGAGGCGUGGGUGCCGGAGCUAACGCGUUAAGUCGACCGCCUGGGGAGUACGGCCGCAAGGUUGAA
rnacentral:rRNA from 1 species